UAGUUUUUGUCGAGCCUGCAACUUUUGUUGCAGAAAGCUCGACAUAGGAAUAGUGAUGUGGCUGCGGCGGCGGUGUUAGCUCACUUCUUAAAAGCUUUAUAUUUUAGAAGUUGGAAGACCUGGAUGCUUCAUACUUUGUAUAUAGAUGCUUCAUGUUAAGAAGUUUCCGUCAGUCACAUGUCCAAUAACCUUGACCUCAUUUUCAUGGUUCAGUGACUAC
rnacentral:lncRNA from 1 species